AACCAAAGUGCUGGUAUCCAAAACACAAAGACUGUAAUCAUUGUUCCUCACUGUCUCUUUCUUUUAUUUCUUCUAUUACACAAGCUUUAAAAAUACAUUCACACCAGUGUCCUAGUAUAUGCAAUAAGCGAUUUAAGCCACAAGUCACAUUUGCACACAACUUUUUCCUGUUUAACCACGCCCACACUGAUAACACUUCGAAAGACAUGAUAGAAAGGCCGUAUCACUUCUCAUCUGCGUGUCUGUGUUGCGAUUAGAAAACAUGACAAGUAAGAGUAUAUUUUUAAGUCGAUCUUUUUCAGAGUAUCUUUUAGUAUCUUAAAGUACUUUGAGCAGUCAUAAGACUUCAAAAAUGGGCUGUUUUAAAGUGUAAUUUUUUCCUGUGCUUGCUGAUUACAACAACUUAAAAAAAAAUAUAUUACUAUUCUGCUAGUUUUACCAGGUUCAUGUCAUUAAGUAUACUUUGCUUUAAUUGCUUUUUGGCAUGAGGGACUGACAGGAUGCAGCAGCAGACUGAACCUCGACUGAAACCUGCUCCAUCAUCUCAUCUUUGCAGAUGUCCAUUUAUAAAGCAUCAACAACUCAAAGGAGCCGUCCUCAGCACCACCCAGUGACAGAUCAUCCUAUAUCUUCAAUCUUUGUAGUAACUCCAAAAUUAACUGAAGAAAACAGUACAAAGGUUAAAGUACCACAUGUGCUGUCAGUGAAAGCUGCAGCUGUUUUAUUGAUAAAUUUAAAGACAAAAGGAUUAAUCACCCCUGUAACUGUCAUUAUUAGUAAUGUGCGAAUCAUGAACAUGAAUAUCGUUCAAUACUCGAGAAUCACUUUACUGAC